AUUUUCAUCCCAGAAUAGAAGGACGCAGAAAACAUUUCACAUUUUCACAUUUUCAUUUAAAUGAUACAACCAAAGUCCUAUUUUCUGAAAGGGAGACCAGAAAGUGUUAGGAAAACUUUCCUCAGUGAGACAUAAUCAGCCACCCACCUGUCAGAUCAUUUCCUGCUCUGAAACAGAAGUGCCGCGGAGCACAGAACACCCAGCUGAGAGCCAGAGCCUCUUCUCACCAUGCAGGGGACAGCUGUCAGCAUGCCGCUGGCCCGUGUGCUGUGGGCAGUCGUGGUGUCCACCUGUCUUGGAUCCAGCAUGGCCCAGAAGGUCACCCAGACUCAACCAGAAAUGUCUGUGCACGAGGCAGAGACCGUGACCCUGGACUGCACGUUUGACACUCGUGUCAGUAAUUAUUAUUUGUUCUGGUACAAACAGCCUCCCAGUGGGGAGAUGGUUCUCAUUAUUCGCCAAGAAGCUAAUAAGCAAGAGAAUGCGACAAAUAAUCGCUUCUCUGUGAACUUCCAGAAGGCAGACAAAUCCUUCAGUCUCAGGAUCUCAGCCGCCCAGCUGGGGGAUGCUGCGAUGUAUUUGUGUGCUCUCAUGGAGGGCACAGUGACAGGAGCAACAGAGAGAGGUUUACAGAAACCUCAAACCCCAGCAUCUGUGCAGAGGUCGGGGUGGGAGGAGUGACUAGGGCACCAGGAACAUAGAAAA